GGGCCCGCACAAGCGGUGGAGCAUGUGGUUUAAUUCGAUGCAACGCGAAGAACCUUACCUACUCUUGACAUCCAGAGAACUUUCCAGAGAUGGAUUGGUGCCUUCGGGAACUCUGAGACAGGUGCUGCAUGGCUGUCGUCAGCUCGUGUUGUGAAAUGUUGGGUUAAGUCCCGCAACGAGCGCAACCCUUAUCCUUGUUUGCCAGCACAUAAUGGUGGGAACUCCAGGGAGACUGCCGGUGAUAAACCGGAGGAAGGUGGGACGACGUCAAGUCAUCAUGGCCCUUACGAGUAGGGCUACACACGUGCUACAAUGGCGUAUACAGAGGGCUGCCAACCAGCGAUGGUGAGCGAAUCCCAGAAAGUACGUCGUAGUCCGGAUUGGAGUCUGCAACUCGACUCCAUG
rnacentral:rRNA from 1 species